rnacentral:rRNA from 1 species
UACGUGGGGUGCAAACGUUGCUCGGAAUUAUUGGGCGUAAAGCGCACGUAGGCGGUUUGUUAAGUCGGAUGUGAAAUCCCUCGGCUCAACUGAGGAAGUGCAUCCGAAACUGGCAGGCUUGAGUACUAAAGAGGGUCGCGGAAUUCCCGGUGUAGAGGUGAAAUUCGUAGAUAUCGGGAGGAACACCGGUGGCGAAGGCGGCGACCUGGGUAGAUACUGACGCUGAGGUGCGAAAGCGUGGGGAGCAAACAGG